UAUUAUAUGAAGACAAAUUCUCUAUGUUACCGUCUCUGGAAGUUGUGCGUUUGUUGCUGCAUUCUUUUUCGUCUGGAGAUAAACUAUUAAACUACUCUCUGAUCUAUGCAUUUGUUUUUAUGCAGCUCAAAGAGAGAAGAUAAGUGAAGCUAAUCAAGGCUCCAAACAAGGACAGCAGCUGUAGUGUCAGGAAAUGCCAUAGUUCUGAGUUUUAAAUCGAGGGUCUUUUGCCAUUCAGUAUAGGGCCUUGGAUUACAAGUUGUGAAAUAUUUGGCUGCCAAAUAUGAAGAGCUAGGGUGUGAAGUGAAAUGGAUGGGCAAGCCUGAUAAGCUGAUCUAGUCACAUUGGUCUGGUUACCGCUGUUAACUUCACUUCAUGUGAACCUUUAGCUUAAUACAUAUUUCUCUUGCACUUGACUACCAAGAUGAAUUUUGAGCAAGGCUACUUUUUGCUUUGAAGCAAAGUUUGGUGUAGAAAUUUUGUAGAUUGUUGCUCAUAUGUUUCUAGGCUAUCCUUUGUAGGUUUUGGGGUUUUCUUUUGUGACAUAUGUUCAAUCAUGAAUUUGGAAAGAAAAUUAAUGGAAAGCCCCAAUUUUUGGAU